AAGAGGGACUUGUUGCAGCUGCCACCUGUCCCAGGUUUAAGCUGAAAUGGCUGAGAGACGAGGCGAGGAGAGCGCAUGUGAAGGAGCUCCUGACAGGAGCGUGUCGUAAAGCUGCUCCUGCAGUGGACAAUGUUAAUGUGCCCCAACAAUCAGUCAGCCCAGCUGAAACAGACUUUUUUUUUACUUUGAGAACCAGCCCACGGAAAGCUUCUCAGCAGAAAAAGAAGUAACUGACUAUUUAAGAUCAGGGUCACAGGAUGGUAAAAGGGCAUUUGAAGGCAUUAGGACACAAAGUACAGUGGACUUGGGUGUGGGAUGCCAUGCAUAGAGUUGAUGCCCUUGGCAUCCUUCAGAGGAUGACCAGGCUUGGAUCUGUUGUGAGGAGGACCUACAGUGUGCGCUCCCUCUCUUACACAUUGACACCAACCACAAGCUCAUAAGAUAUGGCAUUGUCAUUUUUGUAAAUGAUGGUUACUCAAGAAAGGUCCUGUACCUAAGAGUUUCCAACAAUAACAAGGCCAAAACAGCCCUGGAAUUUUUUCUUGAGGCUAUUGACGUAUAUAGUUGUCCAUCUAGGGUCAGAGGAGACCAGGGUGUGGAGAACGUAGACAUUGCCAGGCACAUGUUUGCAGUUCGUGGCUGUGGCCGAGGGAGCUUCAUCUCUGGCAAAAGCGUUCACAACCAAAGAAUCGAACGCCUGUGACGGGAUGUGUGGAACGCGGUCACUGGUGUUUAUUCCAACGUCCUCCAUAGCUUCAUCUUUCUACCCCGACUUCAGAACGAUCUGGAUACUUUCAGAGAUGGGUGGGACUACCAUUCCCUACGCACUGAGGGCAACUACACGCCAGAUCAGCUGUGGGAACUGGGAAUGAGUCGGACCCCUAUCAGCCAGCCAGACAAUCCCGAGGAAUUUGAUAUUCCUGACAUAGAAAUUUCACCUGAAAAUGGAGUGCAGGUGCCACAAUACCCCUGAACAGGGAAAGUUAGUAAAGUUGUCACCUUUUUCCACAAGAGCACCACAGCCCACUGAUGGUGAAAUAAGAGAUGCUUAACUUACCCAAGCACAAGUUAAUCCAUGAUGUGACAACUCGAUGGAAUUCAAUAUAUGACAUGUUAGCACGAUAUGUUGAACAACAGCCUGCCAUAUAUUCUGCAUUUACAAUGGACAAAAGCCUGAGGAGCCACAUCAAGGACAUGGCAAUGUUGACUGAAGGUGAACAAAAAAUGGCAGAACGGCUCAUUGAAUUACUGAAACCACUGAAAACUGUCACAACUCUCAUGAGCAGUGAAACCACCCCCACCACAUCGAUGAUCCUCCCUCUGAAGGAAAUGAUUCUAAAAUCCAUGGCACCAGGAGAUGAAGAAAGUACAGUAAUCAAAGAAGCCAAGAAGCCAUUGCACAGGACCGGGAAAAAAGGUACACAGACCCUGCUCUUCAAAAGUACCUCCAAAAAGCCACAGCCCUGGAUCCCAGGUUUAAAUCCCUGCCUUCCCAUGAUGAAACCUCCCUUCUCAGCCUCUAGAGGGAUCUUGCCACAGAAAUCCUGGAACACGAACCACAGAGUCAAGCCGAGACAAGGCCAUCCACAGAGGGACAAUAUCCAUCCGCUCCCCCUCCAAAGAAGAAGACAGCCAUGGCAGAGCUAUUUGGAAAGGUUUUCAAAAUACAGGAACAGGAGCAGUGAGGAAGAACCGGAUGGGCGAGAAGGCCACAGAUACUGAAAUAAAUCAGUUCACUAUUCGGUGGUUCAACCUGGCGUGCGACCGUGGGGGUGGCCGCCGUGCAACAGACGGCAUGCAGGCACCCACCAACGCACCCACCAACUGAAAAAAUAAAAAAUCAAACAU